UACGGGGGGGGCAAGCGUUGUUCGGAAUUACUGGGUGUAAAGGGUUAGUAGGUGGCCAACUAGGUCAGACGUGAAAUCCCUCAGCUUAACUGGGGAACUGCGUCUGAGACUGAUUGGCUCGAGGACAGGAGAGGAACGCGGAAUUCCAGGUGUAGCGGUGAAAUGCGUAGAUAUCUGGAGGAACACCGGUGGCGAAGGCGGCGUUCUGGACUGUUUCUGACACUGAAUAACGAAAGCCAGGGAGCAAACGGG
rnacentral:rRNA from 1 species